AUUGAACGCUGGCGGCAGGCUUAACACAUGCAAGUCGAACGAGUGGCGGACGUGUGAGUAAUGCUUGGGACUCUAACCUAUGGAUGGGGAUACCUACGGGAAACUGUAGCUAAAACCGCGUGCCAUAGCAUGAGACCAAGUGGGUUUAGUUAGUUGGUGGGGUAACGGCUCACCAAGCCGACGAUCUCUAGCUGGUCUGAGAGGAUUACCAGCCACACUGGGACUGAGACACGGCCCAGACUCCUACGGGAGGCAGCAGUGGGGAAUAUUGCGCAAUGGGGGCAACCUGACGCAGCCAUGCCGCGUGAAUGAAGAAGGCCUUCGGGUUGUAAAGUUCUUUCGGUAGCGAGGCGUUAACUACAGAAGAAGCACCGGCUAACUCCGUGCCAGCCGCCGCGGUAAUUC
rnacentral:rRNA from 1 species